rnacentral:rRNA from 1 species
UGCAGUCGAACGGUAACAGAGAAUAGCUUGCUAUUUUGCUGACGAGUGGCGGACGGGUGAGUAAUGCUUGGGAAUAUGCCUUAUGGUGGGGGACAACAGUUGGAAACGACUGCUAAUACCGCAUAAUAUCUUCGGAUCAAAGUGGGGGACCUUCGGGCCUCACGCCAUAAGAGUAGCCCAAGUGGGAUUAGCUAGUUGGUAAGGUAAUGGCUUACCAAGGCGACGAUCCCUAGUUGGUCUUAGAGGAUGACCAGCCACACUGGAACUGAGACACGGUCCAGACUCCUACGGGAGGCAGCAGUGGGGAAUAUUGCACAAUGGAGGAAACUCUGAUGCAGCCAUGCCGCGUGUGUGAAGAAGGCUUUCGGGUUGUAAAGCACUUUCAGCGAGGAGGAAAGGGCAAUGCUUAAUAGGUAUUGUCUGUGACGUUACUCGCAGAAGAAGCACCGGCUAACUCCGUGCCAGCAGCCGCGGUAAUACGGAGGGUGCGAGCGUUAAUCGGAAUUACUGGGCGUAAAGCGCGCGUAGGUGGUUAAUUAAGUCAGAUGUGAAAUCCCAGGGCUCAACCUUGGAACUGCAUUUGAAACUGGUUAACUAGAGUUUUGUAGAGGGUGGUAGAAUUUCAGGUGUAGCGGUGAAAUGCGUAGAGAUCUGAAGGAAUACCAGUGGCGAAGGCGGCCACCUGGACAAAGACUGACACUGAGGCGCGAAGGCGUGGGGAGCAAACGGGAUUAGAUACCCCGGUAGUCCACGCAGUAAACGAUGUCUAUUAGAAUUUUGUGGCUAUAUGCCGUGGGAUUCAAAGCUAACGCAUUAAAUAGACCGCCUGGGGAGUACGGCCGCAAGGUUAAAACUCAAAUGAAUUGACGGGGGCCCGCACAAGCGGUGGAGCAUGUGGUUUAAUUCGAUGCAACGCGAAGAA